AUUGAACGCUGGCGGAAUGCUUUACACAUGCAAGUCGAGCGAUGAAGUCUAGCUUGCUAGACGGAUUAGUGGCGAACGGGUGAGUAAUAUAUCGGAACGUAUCCAUUAAUGGGGGAUAACUAGUCGAAAGAUUGGCUAAUACCGCAUACGUCCUACGGGAGAAAGCUGGGGAUCGUAAGACCUGGCGUUAAUGGAGCGGCCGAUAUCUGAUUAGCUAGUUGGUGAGGUAAAGGCUCACCAAGGCGACGAUCAGUAGCUGGUCUGAGAGGACGACCAGCCACACUGGAACUGAGACACGGUCCAGACUCCUACGGGAGGCAGCAGUGGGGAAUUUUGGACAAUGGGCGAAAGCCUGAUCCAGCCAUUCCGCGUGAGUGAAGAAGGCCUUCGGGUUGUAAAGCUCUUUCGCAAGGGAAGAAAACUUAUCCUCUAACAUAGGGUGAGGUUGACGGUACCUUGAUAAGAAGCACCGGCUAACUACGUGCCAGCAGCCGCCGUAACAC
rnacentral:rRNA from 1 species